AGGAGAUGAGAGUCCUUUAUCUUUCAAAUGGUCCCUGGUUCUCUCUCACAUCUCUGAAACAUCCAGUUCACCUCUGAGGCCUGCAAAACUGAAGUAAAGGUUAACUAAACAUGGUGGCUGACACGAUCCACAGCCCUCCAGCAACAGAAGGCAGGCUCCAGAAGUGCAAGCAGCGGCUCAGACGAAAACAUACUAAUGAUAAAGAAAGGAAUGCAUGGUAACACCACACACACACGAAUUCUUGAACAUUCAUGCAUCUGCAGCCACCAAGCAGCACAGUAUGCUGGACCUUCUGAAAGACAGGAUAUUGUAACAGAACCUAACACGUGCGGGAUCUGAACUGUGUGUUGACAAGAAGACAACUGUUUUGUGUCUGUUCCCCACAAUAUAAACUUGUUUGCAUAGAAGCAUGAUCCAAAUGACUUGUUCAAGUCUCUGAACAGCAAUGAGAAUUGUAAAAUCCUCUUUAUUUGGAAGCAAUUCCUUUUUAUU